rnacentral:rRNA from 1 species
UACGUAGGGGGCAAGCGUUGUCCGGAUUUAUUGGGCGUAAAGAGCGUGUAGGGCCAGACAGGUCAGCUGUGAAAACUCGAGGCUCAACCUCGAGACGUCGGUUGAAACCGUCUGGCUAGAGUCCGGAAGAGGAGAGUGGAAUUCCCGGUGUAGCGGUGAAAUGCGCAGAUAUCGGGAAGAACACCCGUGGCGAAGGCGGCUCUCUGGGACGGUACUGACGCUGAGACGCGAAAGCGUGGGGAGCGAACAGG